AGAGGUAUAAUUCAGUGGAAGAGUGCUUACCUAGCAUGCAUGAGGUCCUGGGUUCAGUCCCUAGUACUAUUA
rnacentral:tRNA from 1 species